rnacentral:lncRNA from 1 species
CUGCUUGCCUUUUACCUGACUGCCAGCACCCUGCAGAGCAGCAUCAAAGGCUUAGCGUGAAAGACUGCCACUGGCUAUCUUAGUCUUGUAUUUCCUUUACCAUCCAUGGUACCAGAGAAGGAAGAGUGUUUCUCUUUAUGGCCUCAGCAAAAAUUCUGUGGAAGGUGUUGAUUGACCCGAUUUGGGCCAUGUCCUACAAUCAUGGAGGCCAGAGCCAUUGGAUAUUUCAAUUGGCCGGGCUGAGAGCUACAGAACAUCCCUGUAGUGAACAAUGAAGAGAUUCUGGAGGCCAGAAAUUUGAAAUGAGUCUUAUGGAGCUGAAAUCAAGCACAAACCAAAGCUGGGCUUCAUCUGGAUGCUCUAUGAAAGAUUCCUUUGCUCGCCUCUUCCAAUUCCUGGUGGUUGCUGGCAUUCCUUGCAUUGUAGACUCGUCAUCCCAACGUCUUCCUCCUUGGCCCCAUUGCCUUCUCCUCUCCUGUGUGGGCAUCAUCAACUCUCCCUUUCCCUCCCUCUUAAAAGGAUAUGAAUGUGACUGCUUUAGGACCUACCUGGAUAAUUCAGAAUAAUCUCCCCAUCUCAAGACCCUUAACAUAAUCACAUAUGCAAAGAACUUCUCUUUUCUUUAAUCAUAUGAGUUAACAUGUACAAAUUUCAGAGAUGAGAACAUGGAUAUCUUUAGGGUGCCAUUUUUUCAGUCCAUUGGAAAUGGUAGAUGUGGAAGAAGAGGAGCUAAAAUUCAAUCAGACUAGGGGUCUGCAAUCUGUAGCCUGCAAGUCAGUGCCUGUUUUUGUAAAUAAAGUUUUAUUGGAGCACAGCCAUGCCAGUUUUUUUGCAUGUUGUUUAUGGCUGCUUUCCUGCUACCUGGAAGAGUUGAGUGGUUGUAACAGUAACCAUAUGGUCCUCAAAGCUGAAAAUGUUUACUGUCUGGCCCUUUACAGAAAAAGCUUGCCAGUCCCUGGGUUAGAUCAAGAAUGUGGCAAAUCAUACUGGGGAGAUUAUAAGGUUUUAAUUUAAAGUUCAGCAGCAGACAAGUGAGGGUAAGAACUUCAGUGGAUGAAAAACCUACAAAAUACCAGUAGAUUUUACAGUUAGACUUUGGUAGUUUUGGGUAGACAUAUUUCAUUGAAAUGGUGAAAGUGGA